AGUGAGUGCAACGGUGGUGUGAAGAUGGGCGUGGUGAUACGAAUAAGGAAGGCCCUUAUAGGCUAACAUAUUUGAAUGCUUAGUCAUCUUGGAGCAGCACUGUUUGAGAAGGAUUAGAGGGAUGAGGAAGUGCGGCCAUGUUGGAGGAAGUGUAACAGUGGGGUGUGCUGUGUGGAUCCGGAUGUAGAACUCUCAGCUAAUUCUCUAGCACCAAGUAUCGCUGGAUGCUACCAUGCUCCCUGCCAGGAUGAUAAAGGACUAAGCUUUGAAAGUGCUCAUUUUAUGUGUGAACCUGAUUCUCAGCGUGGGAAAAAUACUAGCACCAAAUGCACGUUGACAUAACACCUUCUAGUACGAUGAGAGCUAGUCAGGAUGGAUAAAACUUAGUUGGAAUCUCAUCAAACUGCCAACAACAACUAUUUUAUAUCUUGAGGCACUUUGGAUAUCUGUUACAUCUUUAUAUAAAUUGAAUAAUAUACAGAUCAACUCAA
rnacentral:lncRNA from 1 species